GAAUUUUGGACAAUGGGCGAAAGCCUGAUCCAGCAAUGCCGCGUGCAGGAUGAAGGCCUUCGGGUUGUAAACUGCUUUUGUACGGAACGAAAAGUCUCGGGAUAAUACCCUGGGACCAUGACGGUACCGUAAGAAUAAGCACCGGCUAACUCCGUGCCAGCAGCCGCGGUAAUACGUAGGGUGCAAGCGUUAAUCGGAAUUACUGGGCGUAAAGCGUGCGCAGGCGGUUAUAUAAGACAGAUGUGAAAUCCCCGGGCUCAACCUGGGAACUGCAUUUGUGACUGUAUAGCUAGAGUACGGUAGAGGGGGAUGGAAUUCCGCGUGUAGCAGUGAAAUGCGUAGAUAUGCGGAGGAACACCGAUGGCGAAGGCAAUCCCCUGGACCUGUACUGACGCUCAUGCACGAAAGCGUGGGGAGCAAACAGG
rnacentral:rRNA from 1 species